rnacentral:tRNA from 1 species
UCCUUGGUGGUCCAGUGGUUAGGACUCAGUGUUUUCACUACUGGAGGCCUGGGUUCAAUCCUUGGUCAUGGAA